rnacentral:lncRNA from 1 species
CCACAAAUCCUCGCUCUUUCAAACUUCUAUGCAUUUUCGCAGCACUCCCAAACAAAACUAGCCCCAGAAUCCCUCGCCGCAACAAUAGCCUCUCUAAACCCAAUAUCAAACGGAGACCUAAAGCCCCAGAUGAAAUUCUCCCUCCUACCUUAAACCCCGAGAGCCCUCCACCCAAUGUCGAUUUGAUGAGUUUGUGCAGUGAAGGUAAAAUUACAGAAUCCCUUGAACUCAUGUCUCAAGGUGUUAGUGCUGAUCGCCC